rnacentral:rRNA from 1 species
UGGGGAAUUUUGGACAAUGGGCGAAAGCCUGAUCCAGCCAUGCCGCGUGCAGGAUGAAGGCCUUCGGGUUGUAAACUGCUUUUGUACGGAACGAAAAGCCUCUUUCUAAUAAAGAGAGGUCAUGACGGUACCGUAAGAAUAAGCACCGGCUAACUACGUGCCAGCAGCCGCGGUAAUACGUAGGGUGCAAGCGUUAAUCGGAAUUACUGGGCGUAAAGCGUGCGCAGGCGGUUUUGUAAGACAGAGGUGAAAUCCCCGGGCUCAACCUGGGAACUGCCUUUGUGACUGCAAGGCUGGAGUGCGGCAGAGGGGGGAUGGAAUUCCGCGUGUAGCAGUGAAAUGCGUGAUAUGCGGAGGAACACCGAUGGCGAAGGCAAUCCCCCUGGGCCUGCAACCUGGACGCUCGUGCACGAAAGCGUGGGGAGCAAACAGGAUUAGAUACCCUGGUAGUCCACGCCCUAAACGAUGUCAACUGGUUGUUGGGUCUUCACUGACUCAGUAACGAAGCUAACGCGUGAAGGU